GGGGAAUAUUGGACAAUGGGGGAAACCCUGAUCCAGCCAUGCCGCGUGUGUGAAGAAGGUCUUAGGAUUGUAAAGCACUUUAAGUUGGGAGGAAGAGCAGUUAACUAAUAUUUGACUGUUUUGACGUUACCGACAGAAUAAGCACCGGCUAACUUCGUGCCAGCAGCCGCGGUAAUACGAAGGGUGCAAGCGUUAAUCGGAAUUACUGGGCGUAAAGCGCGCGUAGGUGGUUCGUUAAGUUAGGAGUGAAAGCCCCGGGCUCAACCUGGGAAUUGCUUCUAAAACUGGCGGGCUAGAGUAUGGUAGAGGGUGGUGGAAUUUCCUGUGUAGCGGUGAAAUGCGUAGAUAUAGGAAGGAACAUCAGUGGCGAAGGCGACCACCUGGACUGAUACUGACACUGAGGUGCGAAAGCGUGGGGAGCAAAC
rnacentral:rRNA from 1 species